rnacentral:lncRNA from 1 species
GUUUAUGAUAACAAAUAUGGAAAAAUGGACUUUUAAAAAUCAUGUAAAUUACAACACAAAAAUCAGAAAGCACAACGUUUAUACAAAAUCAUUCGGCCAACUUGCUGGCAAUUAAGUUGGGAUACAAUGUGCUCAGGGUGAAAACAAGAUCAGAAAUGAAAAUAAAAUAGCCACAAAAAAUUGGAAAAGUUUUGGUUUUGGUUUUCUUGAGUACCUGUACCAGCAAUUCAGCUGAUCAUUAAACACAACCAGAAAGAAAGGCUCUAUUUUGCCUGUAGAGAGUUCAUCCAGAGACUGCCCAAGGGAUUUGUACAGAAUAAAGCUUCACAAAACCCAAGGGCUGUCAGAGGGAAAUGGUAUCCAGGAGGACAGGGCAGGCCAAGUAUCCCCUCAACAGCAAAGCCACACUAGAAAGCCAGAGGCAGCACUGUGGCUGCCAACACAACCGCCUACCACGUCUGCCAAGGAGCCAGAAGCCGCUUGUGGGAAAAUAUCACUUACCCUUAGCAUCUGGGUCCUGUGAUUGUUAUCCAAAGAGACAGAAUGUGCUUUGCUGGCAGUACAGGCUCGGUGAUGGGAAAUUCAAGUAGGGAAAACAGAAGACUAUAAAUUGCCACAGCCACCCCAACUUCAGUUAGCAGAUACCGACGUUGAGGCAGGGCCUUCCAAAGUCCACCAGGAAAAAGAUUACCACUUGCUGCAGGCUUGGAUGAUCAUUAGAACAUUUUAGCAAUAAAGUAUUUUUUAAAUUAAGGUAAGAUAUAUGCUUUUUUCUUAACCUAUAAUGCUAUUGAACACUUAAUAGACUACA